UCGCUAGCGCUCGCUGUAGAAGAGCUGCUUCCCCUUUCCUUGAUGUAAGCAGAGCCCCAUUGGCGUUUGGGCCUGUUUUUAUUUGGCCACUCACGCAGUUAUGCUGACUGAAAGGUCCCUUGAGCACCGCUGACUCAAAAACACCCAUGGUCGCAGAGUCCUGAGCAAGGAGAACAGAAAGCAUCUGGCACUUCCCUGUCCCCAUUUCAGGACCGAGAGAGGUAGAACCCAAAGCUGAGGCUGCAGAGCGUGACUCUUAGUCAUAUCAACAGGGGAUUUUGCAAUUGGUGGGUGCGGGGUGCGAGGCAGGCAGUCUGCAAGCAAAUUUGAAGUGCUCUGCAAAGCACUGGAGUGGGGUUCCUCUGCUGCCAGGCCUGCGCAGCACAGUGCGGCCCUCACUCCCUGCUGCCCUGCAGCCUGCCGGGCCGCUCCACUUGGGCACAGGGUUUAGCACAAGUGAGCAGGCAGCUCACGUGGUGAGUGGUGGGUGGCCAUGGCUGCCCUGUAUCUGCCUCCUGUUCACAUUUGCAGCAGCUGAUUUCUAUGCAAGGCAGGGUCUAAAGUGGAUCCCGCUGAGUUUGGCCCAGUUUGGCUGGUGCUGUUCAGCUCAGGGACAGGAUGGAAGGAUGGAGCUGAGACUCAUAGAGCCAGCACUCCCAGCAUCCCAUUCCUGCAGUGGAUACACAGAUUACCUAUCAGUAGAGCUCCUUCUUAAGCCGGAUUGAUUGAGGCAGAAUUUGCAAUCGUUGAAUGAGAGAUGACACAAUCAUAGAAUGGCUCAGGUUGGAGGGGACGCUAAAGAUCACCCAGUUCCAGCCCGCCGCCGUGGGCAGGGAUGUGGAUGGAGAAGUGCUUUGUACUGUAACAGUUUCAUUUAGAAGCGAGAAGUCCUUCAUGAGGAGGUAGUGGGAGGAGGAGGUUAUUGACAAUGCCACUCCUGUCCGAAGGAAUGUGCUGGAAAGUUGCAGUGGCCUCUAGAUGGCAGCCCCAUUACUCACUCGUCAGAAAACUGAAAAUAAACGCCUUCCCUUUCAAAGCUGGACUUACAGGCAGGCCUAAAGCUUCGGGAGCUCAGACCAAAACCCGCGGGCAGUCAAGAUGACAGUGGGACCCAUCCGGCUUUGUUUUUUCCCCUUCGCCUCGCCCAAAAGGAGGAGCGAGGACUCGCUUCCCUCUGGACUCUGUAUUUGGUAAUGGGCCGGGAGCUGCCGCUGGGAGCUCGUCCUGACGUUCCUGGAGUCGUCUGGAAAGCGAGGCGGAGCCGCGGUGCUGUGCCCAGGGGUGCGCCUCGCCCCGGGUGCCGGCGGCUGUGCUGGGAGCGGGAGGUCCGCGCCGUGCUGCCGUGUGUGACCCGUGGGACGCGGGGCGGGCAGCUUCCACAGCACCAGAGCAGCGCUCUGCCAGAGCUAUUUGUAUAGUAAAUUGCUGUAUUGUUUCAAUUAAAAAAACGCAGCCGGGCAUUUAAUGGCUCCCAUCUGCGGCCACUCUGCGUAAUUCACUUCCCACUUUAAGGUUUGAAUUCUCCUUUUCUCUUGUAAUCGUGGGGACAAAAAGGGAGAGUUGAUGUCCCUAAUGUUGAUAGAUCUAUCUUCGUGCUCUCUGCUUUAAAUGAGGUUAACCGGGCUUUUGAGGGAGAAGAGUCAUAAAUAUUUCCUUGUGUGAGCGGAGAUGCUGGCACCGGGAAUCAUGGGAAUCCAUCUCAGCCAGCUAUUAACAGACUGUUAACAGACCGUCUUUCUAAUUGACUUAAAUGUUACUCAGUUGACCCCGUUUCAAUAUUUCCUGAGAACUCAUAGUCUUUACUUUUUCCAUCCUCGCAAUACCCUGGGAGCUAACUGCCGUAUUCACAGAGGGAGCUGAGGGAACCAGAUUCCAAAGGUGGUGGGGCCCUACAGGCGGGGCCUGGGGCUCACACGUCCGACCUGCGCUGACAUCCAAAGCAGUCGGGACCGCUGCUCUUCUGAAAUCCCACUGGGCACCCUCUGGCGUCUUUAACACCUCAGUACUUACAGUACCUCUCGUAGCGGGAUUUGUGCGCGCACAGAAGGCAGGCGGCAUCCACAGGGUUUUGCCAGCAGAUUUAGUCUGAGCCUCAUCAGCAGGGGACCUGGAUAAGAAACCGUGGUCAGCUGCCUCUCAGCUCCGAGCCAGUCUUCCUCAAAGAGCGACGGUAACUUUGGAUGCCACGACUGCGUGACACGCAGCUGCAACCUUGACCUGGUAGGAUCUCCUACGGUCAGAUCCAGCAGAGAGGUAUGUGACUUCACUGUCAUGCACUAGCCUGCUCUGCCAGCUGGAUGAUUUAAGCACACCAAAACCAGAACAGCUCAAUAAAAUGGUUUCUGCGUGAACAGUUCAAUGAAAAUAUCUGCGAUUGGUUGUGGUAAAAAAUGCAAAUUAAAAACCCUUUCGGAUAUAGAAAAGAAAGACCAGAAAAUCGCCCUGUGUUGCCAGGACCGGAACAAAGCCAGGCACUUGGAAGCUGCCCCUGGAGGUGUUGGAGGAACGUGUAGUUGUGGUACUAAGGAACAUGGUUUAGUGGGCAACAGUGGUGGUAGGCGGAUGGCUGAACUGGAUGACCUUAGUGGUCUUUUCCAACCUUAAUGAUUCUAUGAUUCUGAGCAACCUGGGCAGCUGGAGAUGAGAGGAAGCAGGUUCUGGUCCUGUCUCUGCCAAAUGGUUUCUGGCUGCUCUCUUUAGUGCGUAGUUGCUAAACCUGUGCACCUGCCACGGAGGAGGUCAAUGAGAAAUCCUGGCUCUUGUUUCAGUGCCCUAGGGACACGGGAAUGUUUUUGGGGAGUUUUGUACUUGCAUCACUUGCAUCUGUGCUGUCCCUGGUAAAUGCGUUUGAGUUCCAAGGGGUUAGAGUCAGGAGUACUUGUGCUGCUUGGAAGGACAUAGUUCCUACACGGACCAGGCUCCUCUCUGCUGUUUGGAGAGCGAGACGGUGUAUGGGACAGGCGGUGUGAAGUCAGUGAGCUCGGGCUUGUUGCUAAGCCUGAGCCUUGUGUUAUCCACUCACAAAUCUAUCAGCACUUGGGAAUUCGGACUGAAGUUACGUCUGAGGCAAAUCCACACAUAUUAGAAGGUUAGAAAUAUGAUUUCGGGAUAACUCAUUGGCCUCUGCCUCUUCUCCCGUCCCACCUCUCUGCUUUGUUACUAUGAUGAGCAUCUCAUGGGGCACAUGGGAGACCAGCCUAGACUGAACUCGUUGUUGGGGACGCGGGUUUGGGAUUUGAGCAGCAGAGUGGCUGUGGUGCUCCUGGUGAGGUGGGAUUAGCCCUCACACGCUCUGCCAGCUGUCUGUCCUUCCACGCUGUUGGUCUGCUGUAGGAGGUGUGCAGUGGGAGCACAUGGGGCGUGAACACAGAGGUUCCUGCUGAGGCAGAAGAAGGUGGCGUGACCCCGAAAAAGGGAACAGGAGCUGCAACUUCCACCCUUGUGGGCUAAGAGGAACGACCACCCCUGAGGUCCCAUGAAGCUGCAGGCUGCUCCAGACCCACCCUUAUGCGGGAAGGAACACACCCUUGCCUCUGCCUGCAUGUGGCUGCAGGUUCCUCGCUGCAGCCCAGCCCUCCUGAUGAUGUGUGGCCUUCGGGUGGUGCGACACGGCGCUGCUGGGGAGUGGGCUGGCUGUGGUGGGCUUCCUCCUCGCCUUACUGCCACGUGCUGCCCCUACAAGACAACCUCCCGCCAGCUGGAAACCCAGCGCGGCCUCGUGUCCCCAAAAUAAAGAUUUUGUCCUACAGUUUCAUGACUGUAAUUGUUAAGCAGCUCUGUUGUAAGCUUCCCACUAUUUGCCUCAAGCAGCUCAUCCCUGCGGUUCCUCCCAUGCUAAUCUCUGCGAUCUGUGGCAUGCAUACAGCGCUGGCUGGAACGGUCCCUCCCCUCUGCUGCACCGUAUUUGCCAGAACAGGCAUAACUCCAGAUAACCGGAUUUGAAACAAUCAGAGCAGGAAGUGGCAAUAACUGGCCUGGAGGGAAGGCGGGGAGUUGCCCAUAGACAGUUUUUUAGAAGGGUGCCCAAUUUGUGCUAUCUGAUCUCUUUCCACGCUCCUUUAGCCCAGGUACAAAGGCAGGAUGUAAAGCUUGCAGGAGUCAUUUCCAUCCUCUCUCCCUGGCUUCUGACUGAGUUCAGAUCUGUACCGUCUCUUUCUUACAGCCGUGCUGUGUGUGUGGUGACACGCAUACUGACCUACGUGUGCACGUGAAGACUUCCAGAGCUGCAUCUGCUUCAGACGUGACACUGAUGUCACCCCACGGAUGCUGCCUCGCUGUGGACAAGGCAACGGACCAAAGUUGGCGUUAUUUCCUCCGUGGAGAGCAGGGACCUCAAGGAUGGCUCUGGUGCAGCUGGCGCUCCCGUGGCGGGCAGUCACAGCCCACGCCAACCCUCUGCCCACCGCGCCUUCAUACCCUGGGGGUCAGAGUGGGCUGAGGCAGGUCCUAGGCGAGUGCUCCCACUGCCGAGCCUGCAGCUUGGUCACCAGCGCCCUCCGGCCAGCCUCAUAAACAUCACCCACCGGGCUCUGCUGCCCAUCCCCUGCUCCCCCAGCCAAGGGUCACGAGCUGCGGCCGGCAGCCGGCUGCCAAACACAGCCGUGGCUCUGUGCAGCCAGCCUGCGAGAGGUCGUCACACGCCUCCUUAAGCAAACAGGGAUCCACGCCAGUUGAUAAAUCAUUUACGAGGAGAAGUCAGAAGCAAGGAACUAGAUUAACCAGGUCACUGGGUGUCCUGAGGGAAUGACGUGUCAGUGGAGCUGAAACAGCAGAUCCCGCAGUUGCAAUCUGUUGCCUUCUUCUGUCCUGACAGCAAUUCAUGGAAAUCCCUGGAACUAGACACUAGUGAUGGAAAAAUCCAUUAGCUCAUCCAAAGUCAGCUUGCUAGUUAAAGCAGUCACUCCCAUUGUACAUUUUUUGGCAGAGUUAAAAUGUCUCAAGAGAGGGGAUUUCCACCAGUUCCUUCUCAAGGGGAAACUAUUCCACCUAUCGGGAAGGCAGCCUCGAGUGGUGCUAUUUAUGUAAAAGAGAAGUAACUCCAAGCCUGAAAGGGAAAACCGAAAGGUUCUGAUGCAGAAACACAGGCAGCGGUCGAUAGCCUGCCCCGGCUGACAUGUGCCACGCACAGCACAUCUGCGAUGGGAACACCAGGGGCCCACGUGUGUUUAUAUACAUCCACCUAGGUGUGUUUGUGUGUAUGCACAGCCUGCCUCUCCUUCCUCAGGCUGGUUAUGACCUUGUGCCUCCCUGGCUAAUCGACGUGUCGUAUCGUGAUCUCACAACCAGGUUACACUUAUGUAAUGCCACUGGCAUCAAGGCGAAGAAAAUUGCUAAAUUGCUUUGAGGAGGGGACAGACGCAUGGAAAAAGAGAGGCACCGGCUGCUGCUGCUGCUCUGGCACACGCUUCCCCUCUGUGUGGGGACAUGGCACGUCCCUUAGGGGCCUCGGUUCCCCAGCUGCGUGCCAGGCACAGCGACCACCCUCAGUGCUCCUGGCGUCUUGUGGCUGAACGCACAGCCUCUGGCAGCACCCUGCCCGCAGCAGCAGGGAAGGUGCUGCAACGCAGAGCUAUGUCACUGAGGUUGUCGGCAGAGGCUAUGGAGGUUUUGGCAGCCAGGAUUUCAGCACCUGGGAAGCACUUCGGGACAGUGGGGAAAUAAAUGAGCUGUGUGAUGGCAUUUAAGGCCUUAUCAUGAGUUUCAGAGCUAUUUCUGCGUUCAGAUGAAUGGGUGUAGCACACGUUGCUGAGCUAGAAUGUGUAGAGACAGGGAGGGUUGCUCUGUGUUCCCAUUCAGAAAGCUCUCAGCCAGCAGAGCUGUAACUUGCAGUCCUGGUGCCUCAGUUCAGGAGCAGGGCUCUGCAGCUAGGGUAGAUACAAUGGCUAUAUUAGCAGCAAACAAACCCCACAUUAUCCAGGGCCCUGAUUACCAGUAUGAUGGGGUGUUGGCUAUAUGCCUCUUAUGAGAAGAAGGUGGGGUAUUGCCUGGGCGUUUGCCCUGGAUUUGUAACUCCUUCUCAACUAGUUGUUUCGUGUGCCUCUCAAAACCUCACUGCUGGCACUGCUGUCUUCCCCUUCCGGGACUCCUGACAUUCAGGUACCAUGUUUUGCACGGACUCAACAGCCACGUACCCGUCAGUUACAUUGGGACUGCUCUCGUGAGUGCCCUGUGCAUGUUACUGUACGGUGGCUUGUGAGUUCUAUUUGGUACAUCCCUGGCUUUGGGCCGCGUGUUCCGCUUUGCAAGGCUUUACUUUGUUUAGCACAAACCACACUGAAGCACAAAUGACAUCUGUGAGGACUGAUAUGGUGUGGAAAGGGACCUAACCAAAAAAGCGCGGGUCAAAUCCUGGGCCUCGGCGGGGUCCCUUUAAUUGCUGUCAGGUCCCAGUGCCAGUUGACCUACUGAGCCCCUUGCCCCUUGCACCAUGGAGGGAUAAGAGCAGGUGAAGCCCAGUAACAGUUUAACUAUGAGAUUAACUCUCUGCCAGUUCCACUACAGAGGGCCCUCUGUUUCUCUGGACAAAAGGUGCUGACUCCAGCCUCCCCAACACGUUGGCCCACGUUCUCCAUCCCCUUCAUGGCCUGGCCUGCCUUCCCCACACCCUGCAGUUCCAGCCUGACUCUCAGCGAAGGCAGGGAGCCUGGGCUCUGCAGCCUUAGGUGGUGCUGCUGCCUGAAGGAGGGCCAGAGUAAGAGACAUCUUCCUCUCUACUCCCCUACACCUACAAGGUCCCAGUGCUCUUCAGAACCACACACCAAGGUAGGACGAGAUGCAGGGAGGCCUGUAACGGUCCAGGUGCUCGGCUGCGUGUCCUCCCUGCUCCUAAGCACCACUGAGACCCUGGUUUCUCAUGCCUUGAAAUUCAUGGGUGUUUGGCCAUGCCCCUCAACACAUGCAGGACCAGGCUCCCGAACUGUCCCAAAGCCCACAGAUGUCAAGGAGGUUCCUUCUUUGGGCUUCACUGUGGCAAUGAACACUGGUUUUACAGCUGGCUAGGCAAGAGGCAGCUAGGUGCAAGCUUAAUGAGGAUGACCUGUCUCAAAGGUUUCAUUUAAAAGAAGAAAGUACCGAGCGUUUUACUUAAAAAUGAACAGAUGUGUAGAGCAAACUCUACCCUUCCCUCGGGUACGGUGAAUCUGAUCACAGCGCAUCCUGCCCAGACCUGAGAGCAGACAGACAGACAGAGCUGCGUCACAAAGUGGAACUGACUGAUGUGACUCGCCCGCGCUGAGCUGGGGAUGAGUGAAACCAUGCUCGUGCAGACAGCGUGGAAAGCGAGCAGAGGUGAUAAGGAGUGGGGGUGUUAGUUGUUGUUGUUCUUGAUUCUGCGUGGGAGAGGGGAGCGAUAUUGAUGAAGACCGUAAACAGCAAUAGGUGCCACCAAGUAGUGGCAACAUACAGCCCUGAACGUACAGCUGCCAUUAGGCACCGAGUGCCUCUCUGCUGAGUGCUCGCACCGAGGGCAGCUUGGCUUCCAACAAGCACCCAUCACUCCCAAGAGGCAGCACCCCCUGAGAACAUGGGCUGCAGUCCUUAUGACCGUGUGCUGUGAGAGCCAUUUCCACCGGAGAGGCAAAUACUUUCCUUCCACUGUGUCACAGAGCCACAUUUCCUCUGAGUUACCUGCACCGAGUGUGUGGGGCUGCACUAAUGCAGGCCUGGCCGAGAAGGGGGCACGGAGACAGGGAUGGAGAUGGGCACAGAGACAGAGAUAGAGACAGAGACAGGGACAGGGCCGGCCAUGCCCAGCAUGCAGAUCGAGGCAGGUCCUUGCAGUGCGGUGGGGCUGACUGACACCCCGGUGCAGUGUGCGUGUGCCGUGUGAUGUGCUUGAGCAGCACAAGGUCAUGUUCAGCCCCCUGCCCUGUUACUGUGAGCAGCCAUGCACUAGUUUCAAGCGUAAUAACAUCAUGACGUAACAGCACACCAUGCUGCGAUGACACCAGCACAUGGAGCAAGCCACGGCGAUCUGAUCUCUUUCUGUACACGCUGAGAUGCACGCUGCCGCCUCCCAGGACAGGUGGGCGGCAGGUGGAUGGGGCUGGCGCUGCCCACGUCCCAGCGCCGGGUGAGAACGUGACUGCCGGCAAUGUCAGGGCUGGGAGAUUGGCUCCGCAGCUCCAGCUCUGCCUCAGCUGCGGCUGAUGAGUCACCGCACCUCUCUGUGCUCACUUCUUCCAUCUGUGGAAAGGUGGCAAUAACAUUUCCUCACCUUACGGGGGGUGGGAGGUGUGUGCAAGGAUGAACAAAUGUUUACAAAGCACCUCGGCGCAGCACAGGCUGGUUGGGCUGUGACUGGGAGGAACCAGCGCUCGCUCUCCGCAUUGCUCCUUCCUGGCCAGGCGAGGUGUCCUCAAGUAAACACUCCCCUCAGAGUCAACAGUCUUCAAUGAGCGCAGAUGAGAUAAUUCCUCAGGAGAGAAACAGAGAGCGAAGAGUCAGCGCGCUGCCAGUAAUUUCCAUGAAUUCUGUCAAAGGAACAGCGGAGUAACCUUUGCAGGAGAAAAAGAAGAAUCAACUAGAAAAACAAAUGAGCAGCGACCAAAUUCUUUCUGCUAAGUGGUGCCGUGGUCUUAGGUUUCACUUCCCAAAUGGGAAACAGAACAGAGAAGUGAAUCCCCUUGAAAUAAAAGUGAAGUUAAUAACGGGACGCCUGUAGCUGCUCACCACAUCCUGUGUAUGCUGAUCGCUCUGUUUAUAGCUGGCACGAGCCCUUCUAGACUCUUCUCUACCAAGUGAGCUGGU
ensembl:lncRNA